rnacentral:rRNA from 1 species
UACGAAGGGGGCUAGCGUUGCUCGGAAUCACUGGGCGUAAAGCGCACGUAGGCGGAUUGUUAAGUCAGGGGUGAAAUCCUGGAGCUCAACUCCAGAACUGCCUUUGAUACUGAGGAUCUUGAGUUCGGGAGAGGUGAGUGGAACUCCGAGUGUAGAGGUGAAAUUCGUAGAUAUUCGGAAGAACACCAGUGGCGAAGGCGGCUCACUGGCCCG